UACGAGGGGGGCGAGCGUUGUUCGGAAUUACUGGGCGUAAAGCGCGUGUAGGCUGCUCCGAAAGUCGGAUGUGAAAGCCCUGGGCUCAACCUAGGAAGUGCACUCGAAACUUCGGAGCUGGAGUCCUGGAGAGGAAGGCGGAAUUCUCGGUGUAGAGGUGAAAUUCGUAGAUAUCGAGAGGAACACCGGUGGCGAAGGCGGCCUUCUGGACAGUGACUGACGCUGAGACGCGAAAGCGUGGGGAGCAAACAGG
rnacentral:rRNA from 1 species